rnacentral:rRNA from 1 species
AGGAUAAACGCUGGCGGCGUGCAUGAGACAUGCAAGUCAAACGGGCCUUCAGGGCUUGCUCUGGAGGCCAGUGGCGGACGGCUGAGUAACGCGUAGGUGACCUGCCCCGAAGUGGGGAAUAACUGCCCGAAAGGGUGGCUAGUACCGCAUGUGGUCGCACGUUCACUCGUGCGAGUAAAGCCGCAAGGCGCUUCGGGAGGGGCCUGCGUCCGAUUAGCUCGUUGGUGGGGUAACGGCUCACCAAGGCGACGAUCGGUAGGUGGUCUGAGAGGACGAUCACCCAGACUGGGACUGAGACACGGCCCAGACUCCUACGGGAGGCAGCAGUCGGGAAUUUUGCUCAAUGGGCGAAAGCCUGAAGCAGCAACGCCGCGUGAGGGAUGACGGCCUUCGGGUUGUAACCUUCUUUUCUCAGGGACGAUGAGUGACGGUACCUGGAGGAAUAAGCCACGGCAAACUACGUGCCAGCAGCCGC